GACGAACGCUGGCGGCGUGCCUAAUACAUGCAAGUUGAGCGCUGAAGGUUGGUACUUGUACCAACUGGAUGAGCAGCGAACGGGUGAGUAACGCGUGGGGAAUCUGCCUUUGAGCGGGGGACAACAUUUGGAAACGAAUGCUAAUACCGCAUAAAAACUUAAAACAAAAGUUUAAAGUUUGAAAGAUGCAAUUGCAUAACUCAAAGAUGAUCCCGCGUUGUAUUAGCUAGUUGGUGAGGUAAAGGCUCACCAAGGCGAUGAUACAUAGCCGACCUGAGAGGGUGAUCGGCCACAUUGGGACUGAGACACGGCCCAAACUCCUACGGGAGGCAGCAGUAGGGAAUCUUCGGCAAUGGACGAAAGUCUGACCGAGCAACGCCGCGUGAGUGAAGAAGGUUUUCGGAUCGUAAAACUCUGUUGGUAGAGAAGAACGUUGGUGAGAGUGGAAAGCUCAUCAAGUGACGGUAACUACCCAGAAAGGGACGGCUAACUACGUG
rnacentral:rRNA from 1 species